UGAAGGGUUUCGAUCCGUAAACCACUGUCAUUUGUGAACAAUGGUCAUUAUUUAAAAGAUGGUGACUUGAUAGUAAUGAAAGAGGAAGGGACGGCUAACUCUGUGCCAGCAGCCGCGGUAAUACAGAGGUCCCGAGCGUUGUUCGGAUUCACUGGGCGUAAAGGGUGCGUAGGUGGCAUGGUAAGUUUGAUGUGAAAGCUCAGGGCUCAACCCUGAAAUGGCAUUGAAUACUACUGUGCUGGAGGUUUGGAGGGGGGACUGGAAUUCUUGGUGUAGCAGUGAAAUGCGUAGAUAUCAAGAGGAACACCAGUGGCGAAGGCGAGUCCCUGGACAACACCUGACACUGAGGCACGAAAGCUAGGGGAGCAAACAGGAUUAGAUACCCUGGUAGUCCUAGCCCUAAACGGUGCGCAUUUGCUGUAGGAGGAAUCGACCCCUUCUGUGGCGAAGCUAACGCGAUAAAUGCGCCGCCUGGGGAGUACGGUCGCAAGAUUA
rnacentral:rRNA from 1 species